rnacentral:lncRNA from 1 species
AUGAUAGAAGAUAUUUAGAUAAAUGUUUGUCUACGUAUAUUAUUAUUAUUAUUAUUGUUAAAAGUUUUUAAACUCCGGCUAAUAAGAUUUUCAAUUUUUUUAAAAUUGAUUUCGUUUAGGCCUAGCCGCCGGGGUGGAAAAAGAAAUCAUUUAUAUUAACUUUUAUUCUAAUAACCACGGGUUAAUAAUAUAUUUUGUGUUAAAUCUUUUAGAAUGACUCCAGUAUCCGAUACUGUUAAUCUCCGAUUACCACAAAUAUUUAAAAUUAUCUUCAAAGCCUACGGUUGGGUCGUACUAAUUACCGUCAUCUCGUAUAUUUAUAUAUUAUAUGAACAAAUCGUGUCGAUUGGUACGUUAAAAUAUGCGGUGCAGUAUAAUGUUUUCAUUGGUUGGUCGACUCCGUGUAAAAACCGACCCAGCUACAAAUAGUUUAUACAUAAAACUGAUUUGAUGUUUAAAUCGUGCACCGGUCGAGAAUAAAUUAGGUAAUAAAAUCGUACCGAUUCUAUCAAUACCAUCUGGAGAUGACCGUCUACCUAUGGUUAAGCCAGACCCGCGUCACUGUUGGAACUAGCCAACCGUUAUUAAUUAAACGACUUUAAAAUCGAGACGAGAGAUUUGGGUUAGCCCGAGCAGGAAAGAUGGCUACUAACCCAACGCCUGGCUGGUUAUUUUAAAUACCGUAUUUGCCGAAAUUCUAAAGUGGUCGACCGAAUAUUUGAUUUGUGUAUAAUAUUUCUAUUUAUUUAAAAUUUAGCGAUUAACCAUUGGAAACCAAAUUAGUGGCUUUGACUCUGUUUACCAUUUUUGUGAUUUUUUUUUUGGUCCAGAUGUCGAAUACGUAGAAUGUACCAUCGAUUUUUAUAACGCUUUCAUUACGUUAAAUCCAUCUUAAAGAAAUGCAAAUUUUUGGAAAAAGCUGUGAUGGGGAUGUAUAGAAUUUUGCAUUUUGUUGGUAGAUGUUGUAUAUUAUUAAUCGCUAUUAAUAAAUUAUUAUUAUUUUUUU